rnacentral:rRNA from 1 species
UACGGGAGGCAGCAGUGGGGAAUAUUGCACAAUGGGCGCAAGCCUGAUGCAGCCAUGCCGCGUGUAUGAAGAAGGCCUUCGGGUUGUAAAGUACUUUCAGCGGGGAGGAAGGCGAUGCGGUUAAUAACCGCGUCGAUUGACGUUACCCGCAGAAGAAGCACCGGCUAACUCCGUGCCAGCAGCCGCGGUAAUACGGAGGGUGCAAGCGUUAAUCGGAAUUACUGGGCGUAAAGCGCACGCAGGCGGUCUGUUAAGUCAGAUGUGAAAUCCCCCGGGCUUAACCUGGGAACUGCAUUUUGAAACUGGCAGGCUUGAGUCUUGUAGAGGGGGUAGAAUUCCAGGUGUAGCGGUGAAAUGCGUAGAGAUCUGGAGGAAUACCGGUGGCGAAGGCGGCCCCUGGGACAAAGACUGACGCUCAGGUGCGAAAGCGUGGGGAGCAAACAGGGAUUAGAUACC